rnacentral:rRNA from 1 species
GACGAACGCUGGCGGCGUGCUUAACACAUGCAAGUCGAACGGAAAGGCCCUGCAUUUGUGGGGUGCUCGAGUGGCGAACGGGUGAGUAACACGUGAGUAACCUGCCCUUGACUUUGGGAUAACUUCAGGAAACUGGGGCUAAUACCGGAUAGGAGCUCCUGCUGCAUGGUGGGGGUUGGAAAGUUUCGGCGGUUGGGGAUGGACUCGCGGCUUAUCAGCUUGUUGGUGGGGUAGUGGCUUACCAAGGCUUUGACGGGUAGCCGGCCUGAGAGGGUGACCGGCCACAUUGGGACUGAGAUACGGCCCAGACUCCUACGGGAGGCAGCAGUGGGGAAUAUUGCACAAUGGGCAGAAGCCUGAUGCAGCAACGCCGCGUGCUGGAUGACGGCCUUCGGGUUGUAAACCGCUUUCGCCUGUGACGAAGCGUGAGUGACGGUAAUGGGUAAAGAAGCACCGGCUAACUACGUG